AAAAAGACAAACACUAGGAUUUCGUGUCCAACGUUUGACUGUCCGUUUUAUAUAAUUUUUUUAUAAGUAUUUUUAUUGUUGUUAGAUGAUAAAACAUGAUUAAUACUUUAUGCGUGACUUGUCUUUUUAAUUUUUUUCAUAUUUUUUUUUCAAAUAAGACGGACGGUCAAACGUUGAACACGAAAAUCCAGUGUUUGUUUUAUU
rfam:Oryza sativa (indica cultivar-group) chromosome 10, whole genome shotgun sequence.